rnacentral:lncRNA from 1 species
AUGAUGAAACUUAGACACAAAAAUAAAAAGCCAGGUAAAGGUUCCAAAGGCUGCAAGAAGCCUGCAAAGCAGAAUGGGAAGAAAGCAGCCACCAAAGUGGCCUCCUUUCCCCAGUUUGUCCACUCCAAUGAUCAUGCCAGUCGGGAGGCUGAGUUAAAGAAGAAGAGGGUUGGGGAGAUGAGGGAGAAGCAGCAGGCUGCCCGGGAGCAAGAGAGACACCGACGCAGGACCAUUGAAAGCUACUGCCAGGAUGUCCUGCGACGCCAAGAGGAGUUUGAGCGCAAGGAGGAAGUUUUGCAAGAAUUAAAUAUGUUUCCUCAACUGGAUGAUGAGGCUACAAGAAAGGCUUAUUACAAGGAGUUCCAUAAGGUGGUGGAAUACUCUGAUGUGAUUCUGGAAGUCCUGGAUUCCAGGGACCCAUUGGGUUGCCGCUGCUUCCAAAUGGAAGAAACUGUCCUACAGGCAGAAGGGAACAAGAAGCUGGUCCUGGUCUUGAACAAGAUUGACCUGGUCCCUAAGGAGGUUGUGGAGAAGUGGCUGGAAUACCUUCGGAAUGAGCUGCCAACUGUGGCUUUCAAGGCCAGUACCCAGCAUCAGGUCAAAAACCUGGUAAGCUGGGGCCAGAAACAUCUAGCCUCUUAUACAGUAGCCUGGGGCUACAGUCUUUUCUAAUUCUAUUAUUAACAUAGAAAUAUGUUUUCUAAUUCUAUUAUUAACAUAGAAAUAUGUUUUCAAUGUCAGACUUAAUUAAAGUGUACAGAAACAUUUGUUGCUUCUAAGGAGAGAAAAUGGGUCCUAGGGGACAUUUUUUUCAGUUUUGUAUGAAGUGUAAAACUUACUUAUUAAAAAAUAAAGUAGAAAAAGUAAAAACAAUUACAGUUGACCCUUGAACUAAACAAGGGUUAGGGACAUCCACCUUCUGCACAGUGGAAAAUCCAUGUGUAACUUCUAGCUGGACCUCAGUAUCUGCAGUUCUGCAUUUACAGAUUCACCCAACUGCAAAUCAUGUAGUACUGUAGUAUUUAUUAGUGAAAAAAAUUUGCAUGUAAGUGGACCUGCACCAUUCAAACCUAUGUUGUUCAAGGGUCAACUGUAUAGAUGAGACUUGAAUAUCCUUUCACUAUUACCCAUUCAAGGGUCAACUGUAUAAAUGAGACUUGAAUAUCCUUUCACUGUUACCCCUAAUCCCAAUCUCCUUUAUCCAUAUACCAGAUUAACCACCAUUGUUAGUUUGAUGUGUAUCCUUCCAGAUGUUUUUCUGUGCUUUAUAUUAUAUGUGGAUUUGUAUAUAGAGAAAAUAGUUCUUGGGUGUAUCAUAUAUGUCAUCCUGCAGUGUACUUUUUUUCCCUUGAAGAUCUUUCUGUAGAGUUCUACCUUUUUUACACUAAAUAAAGUUUUCAAUUUUUUUAAUCAUUAUAAGCAGUACUAUAAUGCAUACCCUUGCACGUCUUCUUGGCUAGUCAGCAAGUGUUUGUGUAGGUUGGGUACUGAGAGGUAGAGUGGCUGGGUCAUAGUUAUUUUGCAUUUUAGAUUUUCCUAGAUACUGAAAAAUUGCUCCCCAGCCCCACCUCCUUCCUCUACCCCUACUCAAGUGGCUAUACCAAUUUAUCUUCCCACUACUGGGACAGAUGAAUGUGUGAGAGGGCCUGUUUCCCUCCACCCUUGCCAAUAUUUGAUAUCAUUAAACAUGUAAAUCUCUGUUCAUCUGGGAGAAACAUGGUAGUUCCUGUAUAAUUUUUUGCCUUUUAGAUAUCAAAAAUGUGAUAAGCAUCCCUUUAUAACAGGUUUUUCUUUGAUCUGUAUUCCACUUUAAGGAUAUAGCUCCUUAACCUAUUUCUUAUUAAUGGAUAUUUAAGUCAAUUUCUAUUUUGCAGUACUAUGGUAGGUAAGUAAGGACAGAGGAAGAGAUGAAAGGGCAUUCUGGGCAGAGGAGGUGGCAAUAGGAAUAAAGAGAUGGAGGCUGAAAUGGCCUUGUCUUGUAUGAGGAAUCAAGGGAAGGUAGGCUCUAUGUGGGCCGGACAGUAUCUCUUCUUUCUCUGGACAGGGAGGCAAAUGUUCUCAUUGUGUAGACAGGGUUCACUGAAGCCCAGAGAAUGGAAUCAGAAUUUGCUGGCCACAUACCUGUGAGAAGCAGAGUUGGAACUCAAACCUGGCCUGCUUAGAGGUGAGGAGGCUGUCUUGCUCCUGUUGAGGGAGGCAAGCGAUGUGUGUCUAGGCAGAGACUGAGACAGAGGACUGGAGAUGGAAAAACUGGAAAAAAUAGGCCUUGUGGAAGCAGGGAAAUGGCACGUGUUCGUUCAGGGCCUGUGUAAGAAGCCCUUCGCUUCAUGCUGGGGAUCUCGGUGAUAACGGAGUCAGCCCUGAAAUUUGGAAAUCUUUGCUCAGACCACAUCUCUCAUCUGAUGCCUCUUCUGUAAUACCCCUCAUUUUCCAGAAUCGCUGCAGUGUGCCAGUGGAUCAAGCCUCUGAGUCACUGCUGAAAAGCAAAGCCUGCUUUGGAGCUGAAAACCUCAUGAGGGUUCUGGGGAACUAUUGCCCGCCUUGGUGAAGUGCGCACCCAUAUCCGUUGUGGGCGUUGUGGGUAAGGCCUCAGGGGAGGUUAUGGGGCCCAGGCUUCUUCCUUGUGUAGGGGUGUCAUUGGGGGAAAGGAUUCUGGGAACUUCAUGUUACUUUUGGCUAGGGAGGAGAGGAGCUAUUCAGGAAGGGUCCUUUUUUUUUUUUUAAGGUAUUUAUUUAUUUUGGCAGCACUGGCUUUUGUUGCUGCAUGGGCUUUCUCUCGUUGGCUUCAAAUGGGGGCUACUCACUAGUUGCAGUGCUUGGGUUUCUCAUGGUGGGGUUCUCUUAUUGUGGAGUAUGGGCUCUAGGGUGCGCAGGCUUCAGUAGUUGCAGCUCCCAUGGGCUGAGUUGCCCUGAGGCAUGUGGAAUCUUCCUGGAUCAGGGAUUGAACCCCUGUCCCCUGCAUUGGCAGGCAGAUUCUUACCCGCUGUGCCACCAAGGAAGUCCCAGGAAGGCCUCUUGUGAUUUGUAAUUUGGAUUGGUGGACAUGGGGAGGCAGACUCAGAAUCACCACUGGUAGUUGGAGUAUUAAAACCAUGGACUACAUGUGUGGGGCUAGGCUUAGAGUUGACCCAUGUCAUCCUACCACUCUGGGGAAGGGAAUGGUUGCCUCAUCCAGUAUUCUUGCCUGGGAGAUCCCAUGGACAGAGGAGCCUGGUGGGCUACAUUCCAUGGGGUUGCAAAGAGUCAGACGUGACUGAGCACAUAUGUAUGCAUCCCACCAGAGCUGUGGGAGAGAGGGGUGAACAUCUCCCUUUCAUAGAUAAGAACACUAGGGCUCAGAGAAAGGAAAGGGACUUGCAGGGUUCACCCCUGUGUGAGACAAAACAGAGCUGAGGCUCAAACCUGGAGCCCAGGGCACUGAAAGAAAGCUGGGGAAAGGAACCAGGAAGUUGAGAGAGGCAGAGAUAGACCAGCAGGGAAAAGAAGUGAAGCCAAGAGAAAAAAAACAUUGGAGAAACAGCUGGAAACAGAAAAAGGUAAAAUACCUGAAUAGAUACAGAAAUAUAUCUGGAAAACCAAAUGUGGGAUUGGUGGGGAGUAGAGAAGGAAGACAGAGUUGAAUGACAGAGGCAUGUAGACAGAGGGAGAUAUGAUCACAAAAAUGUGUGUAGAGGCCUACAGAGAGAGAUAUGAGAGGGCCUGAGACCCUCUCAUGUGAGUAGGGAGGGAGACAUGUAUACCCAAGGAAAGAAUGAAUGAGUCAAACUCAGGGAUAAAGAGAUUCAGAGGAAGAUGCACAUAGAAAGAAGCAGGAACAAAGAUGCAGACAGACACUGAAGAAUAUACACCCAGACCUAUACACACAUGUGGAUCCACAGACACAUGUACAGAUCCACACAUAUGAAGACACAUACAGAUCCAGAGCCAAGAUAAUGGAGACCAAGCCCUUCCCACACACUUAGCCAACUCCUCUCCAAGCAAACAGAGCCAUAGAGAGACACGUGUACCCAGAUGCAUUUGACCCUCAGACACAAUCAUGUUAGAGACACAGACACACAUCUAUGACAAGACAGAUGUAUAUGUAUAUAUAGAGAAAUAGAGGCAGAGAGAGGACUAGGGAGACACAGAAAAAGAAACACAGUGAUUCAUGUAGAGAGACAAGCCCACUGAGAGAAGGACCAGGUACAGAAAGAGCUGAGAGGAGUUGGCAUAGAGGGAAUUAACAAAGAGGCAAAAUUGCUGGGGUGGGGAGAAUUUGAGAGAAAGGACAAUGGCCAUAAAGAGAGAAAGUGAGACAAACUGGCAGAGAAAGAGUUGCUUAGAUACACAGAGAGAAAGACAGAAAUGGGAAAAGCAAUGGUAUUUAGAAUGAGAACAGCCAAGAGAAGAUACACAGAGACUUCUACACACAAGGGAUAUACACACAAGCACAUCUAUCGGAAUAAAUAGUACACAUGUAAGUUCUAGCACACAGAGAAGGGGAAUGGUAGGAAUGAGAGACCCAAUGAGUGAGAAAUAGACAAGGACAUCCAUAGACCGAGAGGUGCUUACAGAUGCCCAAACAGAAAAACAUACCACAGACAGAAAGCUCAAAGACUGACAUCUCAGAGAGGAGCCCCACCUCCCACUCCCUACCCCCUGCCAGGUGAAUUAUACACCACGAUGGGUGGUUCUGUUUUAUGACACUUCCCAGUGCCCACCAUCCAUUGGAUUGUGUCACAGAGGCCUUGCAUCCAGUACCUUUCCCAAGCUGGUUGUAAGUGGGAGGUGAGUGUCAUAUCUAGUGAGAGGAACACAUCUAGCCAGAGUGCUCACAUGUAGAGGAAAGGGAUAGAAAGGCCAUGGAGGGGCUUGGUCAGGGCCUUGGACAGGAAGGCAGGAGGCCAGGCUCUGUUUUUGGCUUCCCAUGGCCUGGUCACACUGCCCCUGCCUGGGCCUCCCU